GAUGAAGAACGCAGCGAAAUGCGAUAAGUAAUGUGAAUUGCAGAAUUCAGUGAAUCAUCGAAUCUUUGAACGCACAUUGCGCCCGCCAGUAUUCUGGCGGGCAUGCCUGUUCGAGCGUCAUUACAACCCUCAGGCCCCCGGGCCUGGCGUUGGGGAUCGGCGGAAGCCCCCUGUGGGCACACGCCGUCCCUCAAAUACAGUGGCGGUCCCGCCGCAGCUUCCAUUGCGUAGUAGCUAACACCUCGCAACUGGAGAGCGGCGCGGCCAUGCCGUAAAACACCCAACUUCUGAAUGUUGACCUCGAAUCAGGUAGGAAUACCCGCUGAACUUAAGCAUAUCGAUAAGCGGAGGA
rnacentral:misc_RNA from 1 species